rnacentral:rRNA from 1 species
UACGUAGGCAGCGAGCGUUGUUCGGAGUUACUGGGCGUAAAGAGUGCGUAGGCGGUUUUCUAAGUUUGGUGUGAAAUCUCCCGGCUUAACUGGGAGGGUGCGCCGAAGACUGGAAGGCUUGAGUAUGGGAGAGGUAAGCGGAAUUCCUGGUGUAGCGGUGAAAUGCGUAGAUAUCAGGAGGAACACCGGUGGCGAAGGCGGGUCUCUGGGCAGUAACUGACGCUGAGGAGCGAAAGCGUGGGGAGCGAACAGG